AUUGAACGCUGGCGGCAGGCCUAACACAUGCAAGUCGAACGAGUGGCGGACGGGUGAGUAAUGUCUGGGAAACUGCCCGAUGGAGGGGGAUACCUACUGGAAACGGUAGCUAAUACCGCAUACCAUCAGAUGUGCCCAGAUGGGAUUGGCUUGUAGGUGAGGUAACGGCUGACCUAGGCGACGAUCCCUAGCUGGUCUGAGAGGAUGACCAGCAACAAUGGAACUGAGACACGGUCCAGACUCCUACGGGAGGCAGCAGUAGGGAAUAUUCCGCAAUGGGCGAAAGCCUGAUGCAGCCAUGCCGCGUGUGUGAAGAAGGUCUUCGGGUUGUAAAGCACUUUAAGUUGGGAGGCGUUACCAACAGAAUAAGCACCGGCUAACUUCGUGCCAGCAGCCGCGGUAAUUC
rnacentral:rRNA from 1 species